rnacentral:rRNA from 1 species
UACGGGGGGGGCAAGCGUUGUUCGGAAUUACUGGGCGUAAAGGGCGCGUAGGCGGGUGGACAAGUCUCUCGUGAAAGCCCACGGCUCAACCGUGGAAUUGCGGGAGAUACUGUCUGUCUUGAGUCCGGGAGAGGAGGGUGGAAUUCCCAGUGUAGCGGUGAAAUGCGUAGAUAUUUGGAGGAACACCGGUGGCGAAGGCGUCUCUCUGGACCGGUACUGAUGCUGAUGCGCGAAAGCUAGGGGAGCAAACGGG